GCGUUCCGAUUUUCUAUCUUUAGGAUUGUCAGAAGGAGUUGAAGCAACGAUUUUGAACUGUUGCCUACGAAUCAUUGAGCACAUCGCUUUCCGCAGGGAUAUCAGUGUGUAUGUUGCUAAUUCUUACGUGGUAGCAACCUGGCUUCCGCCACUCUCUGGUUUCCCAGAGUUGUCCCUUCCGGCUAAUGUCGGCCAGACAGACCUUGUGGUUCUGCCUGCUUGGGUACCUGGCCACUGGCUGCUGUGUGAACAUUGCAAAACUCAUUGACAACCGAGAGUGGACAGAGAAAACUGCG